UUCGCUAGUAAUCGCGCAUCAGCCACGGCGCGGUGAAUACGUUCCCGGGCCUUGUACACACCGCCCGUCAAGCCAUGGGAGCCGGGGUGCCUGAAGGCCGUGACCGCGAGGAGCGGCCUAGGGUAAAACUGGUGACUGGGCUAAGUCGUAACAAGGUACC
rnacentral:rRNA from 1 species